CCCUUAGAUGUUCUGGGCUGCACGCGCGCUACACUGAUGCGCUCAACGAGUUUUAACCUUGCCUGGAAAGGUUGGGUAAUCUUUUUAAAACGCAUCGUGAUGGGGAUAGAUUAUUGCAAUUAUUAAUCUUCAACGAGGAAUUCCUAGUAAGCGCGAGUCAUCAGCUCGUGCUGAUUACGUCCCUGCCCUUUGUACACACCGCCCGUCGCUCCUACCGAUUGAAUGGUUUAGUGAGAUCCUCGGAUUGGUCCCGCCACGGGAGGAAACUUUCGAGGCGGAGUGCCGAGAAGACGAUCAAACUUGAUCAUUUAGAGGAAGUAAAAGUCGUAACA
rnacentral:rRNA from 1 species